UACGUAGGGGGCGAGCGUUGUCCGGAUUUAUUGGGCGUAAAGAGCUCGUAGGUGGCUGUUCAAGUCGGGUGUGAAAUCCCAAGGCUCAACCUUGGGUCUGCAUUCGAUACUGGGUGGCUUGAGUCUGGUAGGGGGACCUGGAAUUCCUGGUGUAGCGGUGGAAUGCGCAGAUAUCAGGAGGAACACCGGUGGCGAAGGCGGGGGUCCUGGGCCAGUACUGACGCUGAGGAGCGAAAGCGUGGGGAGCAAACAGG
rnacentral:rRNA from 1 species